GAGGAACGCUGGCGGCGUGCCUAAUACAUGCAAGUCGAGCGAACAGACGAGGAGCUUGCUCCUUCGACGUUAGCGGCGGACGGGUGAGUAACACGUAGGUAACCUACCUAUAAGACUGGGAUAACUUCGGGAAACCGGAGCUAAUACCGGAUAAUAUUUCGAACCGCAUGGUUCGAUAGUGAAAGAUGGCUUUGCUAUCACUUAUAGAUGGACCUGCGCCGUAUUAGCUAGUUGGUAAGGUAACGGCUUACCAAGGCAACGAUACGUAGCCGACCUGAGAGGGUGAUCGGCCACACUGGAACUGAGACACGGUCCAGACUCCUACGGGAGGCAGCAGUAGGGAAUCUUCCGCAAUGGGCGAAAGCCUGACGGAGCAACGCCGCGUGAGUGAUGAAGGUCUUCGGAUCGUAAAACUCUGUUAUUAGGGAAGAACAAACGUGUAAGUAACUGUGCACGUCUUGACGGUACCUAAUCAGAAAGCCACGGCUAACUACGUG
rnacentral:rRNA from 1 species